AGGAAUUGGAGGAGCUUGGAAGGUGGCUAAUGUGGAAGAAGGCUCCACCGUUGCAGUGUUUGGCCUUGGUGCUGUUGGACUUGCAGUUGCAGAAGGAGCCAGACUACGUAGGGCCGCGAAGAUCAUCGGAAUUGAUACCAAUCCUGAUAAAUUCGAGCUAGGUGAUUAAAGAAAUGACAGGCGGAGGAGUUGACUAUAGUUUCGAAUGCGUUGGCGUAGCAUCUUUACUUACCGAGGCUUUCAUCAGCACCCGCACGGGAUCAGGAAAAACGGUAAUGUUGGGGAUGGAGAAGCAUGCAGCGCCAAUUAGUUUAGGUAGUUUUGAUCUUCUUAGUGGCAGAAGUAUUUGCGGAAGCUUGUUUGGUGGUCUGAAAGCUAAACUUGAUAUUCCUAUUCUCUUGGAUCACUACUUAAAAAAGGAGCCCAAUCUGGAUAGUUUUAUCACGCACGAACUGAAAUUUCAAGAAAUCAAUAAGGCUUUCGACUUAUUAAAGAGAGGAAAA